CCAAUAGCGUAUAUUAAAGUUGUUGCAGUUAAAAAGCUCGUAGUUGAAUUUCGGGAUCAAUUUAUCGGUCGUGCAAUAGUACGUACUGGUUUUAUUGGUUCCUCCCUUCUGACGAACCUUGAUGCCAUUAAUUUGGUGUCUUGGGAAAUCAGGACUGUUACUUUGAAAAAAUUAGAGUGUUUAAAGCAAGCUCACGCUUGAAUACAUUAGCAUGGAAUAA
rnacentral:rRNA from 1 species